CUGACUUCCUCGCCGUGGGCUCGUGAACGGGAACCUUUAGGAAGUGGCUGUGUGAAUCUAGCGGUCGAUUCGCCGGGGGGCGGGCCCUUGAGCGGAGGCCGCUCCGGCUGCGCGCGACGCCAACGAGCCCUUGAUCACGCGCCGCCAAAUCCUCGUCAGAAUUCAUAAGGCGCCCGGAAGCUGCUCCAGCAGCCGGCGAUCACGCAGCCCAGAACACUCGCGCAGUCACGCGUCUCCGACUCGACACUUUGAAGUUUGCGGGAGACACCUGAAUGAAAGUUGCACAGCGUCGAGCGCACGUCUGAAGCGCCGUCAUCACAUUUUCAGCUACUUGAGGGGAAAAACCACGCGAUUCGCUGACAAGAUGUGAGUCAAGGAUGAAGAGAGCGAUCGUGUGGAAGUCAUCCGUCGUGGGCGAGCGAGGUGAUGGAGAGCUUAUGGGAGCUGAUGAGAAGAAGGAAGGACGUGGCGUCCAGUAAAAAAAAAAAGGGCCUGGAAUGAAACACUCCCGCCUGUGAUUACCCAGAGCCUCCUCGCCCUGUUCACACGGAGCAGGGGACACACAAACACCCCCCACGCAACACAGACACACUCAGGCUAUAUAUUAAAGUGCAGGCUGGAUAAUACAGCCCGCAGCGGGACCAAAUCCUCCAGACGUAGCAGCUGGGCGCUCCGUAAUGGCCGUCCGGAGCGCUGCCACACAUCCAGGUCCCCCACCGCUGACCUUUUCAGGCCACUUAUAUGAUGGCCGGCGCUAUUACACCCUCAGAUAGAUUAUUCCCUCACUUCAAUGGACACUGAGGCCCCAUCACUAUGGCCCCUUUUCACAGCUUUAUACCCAAUAAAUUCUCCUCAAUCUGCAGCACGGGGAUGACGGCCAUGCAUCAGCGGCGCUGGGGUGGAUGACGCCGAAGGGAGCUGCCACUGUUGCCUUAUCACCAUAACGACUAUCAGCGGCGGCCAUCGCACGGAGUAAUGUAAUGUCUGGGGAUUGUUAUUAUCCAGCUGGGAGAUGAGCGGGUGGGUGGCGGCAGGGGUUUGGGUUACACUAUGUACAUGAACGCCGGUGACAGAUUAAAGAUGAAUGUAAUGCGUCACCUGUCUCGCGUGGUCAUAAAACAUUCCAGUCUUGAGUCAUCAGAGCUGGAGAUAGAGGCAUUUUUUCUAACCUUGAGAAGAAGUCACACUCUUUUACUCCCUCGCAUUUAUUCCACAGCAGGAGUCUCGGUUUGAAUGAAGAGUUUUUAUAUGAAGAAAUGUGAGAGGAUUCUAAAUGUAGUUCUCAGUCCUCUCCACUUGUACAGUCAUUCUUCAUGAACAUUCCAGCGUCAAUGUGCUGAUAACACAGAGACGGGAACAGCUACAGAGUGUUUGUUUUGCAACAAUCUUGAUUUAAUUUGACUGGUUCUACUUAGUUUGUUUGUGAACUGUUCUUAUUGCUUACAGUACAGUUAAAGAAGGUGUACAUCACUACGUAAUAUAAAUAGACCAAUACCAUACUCACAUUUUAACAAGUAAUCUGACGCUUGAUUGUAUUUCUAAAAAUGUGUAGUAUAAAAAAUAUUAAAAUCGAGUUAAAGAUUC